rnacentral:rRNA from 1 species
UACGUAGGGGGCGAGCGUUGUCCGGAAUUAUUGGGCGUAAAGAGCGUGUAGGCUGUUCGGUAAGUCUGCCGUGAAAACCUGAGGCUCAACCUCGGGCGUGCGGUGGAUACUGCCGGGCUAGAGGACGGUAGAGGCGAGUGGAAUUCCUGGUGUAGCGGUGAAAUGCGCAGAUAUCAGGAGGAACACCGGUGGCGAAGGCGGGUCUCUGGGCCGAUACUGACGCUGAGGAGCGAAAGCGUGGGGAGCGAACAGG